GUGCUCACAAGUUGUUAUCCCCGGCAUGAGGAGAAGAACCUACUAGCUACCAUAUGAAAAACCAGCACCAAUCUCUCUCCCAAGUUUCAAGCCAAUCUUCCAGUUUCAUCAUCGCCGGCACCAUCUUUUUCGGAGUUCUCUCCCCGUCGCCUCACCGGUAGUUAUCAAAGAGGGAAGGCAUGCAAGGCCCUCCUGGUCUGCCUCCUCCGGCCCCAUUCUACCCCGGCGGAUACCCUCCUCCGCCGGGCUGGCCUGGUUACCCUAUGCCAUUUGUUCCGGUGCAAGGGUACGGAGCUCCACCUGGUGCGUAUCCUCAACCCGGAGGAUACCCUCCGGCCGGGUAUCCACAACAACAUGGCCAUGCGCAGCCCGCUGGCUAUGCCGUCCAUGAUAAAUCGAAGAAGAAGUCUUCAAAGAAAGGAAAAAAAGGUAAGGGUGGUGGCUUCGGCUCAUUCCUCGCCGGUGCCGCUAGCGGUGCAGUUACGGUACUUGGAGCUGUAUUGGCUGAAGAUGAAGAACAGUCUUCUGGCAAGUUCAAAUGGAAGUGAUAAACCAAGAAAAAGAAUGCAAUUACCAUUUUCUCUUUCGGUCGGUUCAGCAAAAAAUUACUUAUAUGCUUCUAAGAAAAAAAUGCAAUUACCAUCAUAAUGCCGGUUAUUUCUCUCUUAUGGAUUUGUAGUACAAUAUGAUCUAUCGGAGAUUUGUUCAGCACAUAAGACAAAGAUUAAAUGCUCGAAUCUAUAUACAUGCAUCAAUAGAAGGACAGAAAGGCGGCUAAAUAUAUGUUUUGCAUGCCUGCAGUUACUGCUAUGUAAAAUUCUUCAAUGAUUUUUUCGAUGGAAAAUAUGUUUUGCUGCCCGCGCACCAUCUUGUUGUAAUUACCGGCAUGCUCACGCCUCUCCGUCAUUGGAUUCACAUCGUGCAGAUAGUGGCUGUUUGUGAGGGACCACACUCGACUUCUCGUUGUGCGAAGGCGAGGGAAAAUGCGAACAUGUGUCGAAAUCAACAAACGUGCUUUCCUUAUCCAAAAUAUGUGCUUCAAUGGGAGGGCCGCGAUUAGUGUACGUGAGUACACCACGAAUUGAUGAAUUGGUCGUAAUGGACGUCACUUUGUCACCACCCAAAAUUGUUCGAGUGGUGUUGGGGAGAGAGAGGUUAGUAAAAUUGUACGUAUUUGUGCACGCA